rnacentral:rRNA from 1 species
UACGUAGGGUGCGAGCGUUGUUCGGAGUUACUGGGCGUAAAGGGUGUGUAGGCGGUUGUUUAAGUUUGGUGUGAAAUCUCCCGGCUCAACUGGGAGGGUGCGCCGAAUACUGAGCGACUAGAGUGCGGGAGAGGAAAGUGGAAUUCCUGGUGUAGCGGUGAAAUGCGUAGAUAUCAGGAGGAACACCGGUGGUGUAGACGGCUUUCUGGACAGUAACUGACGCUGAGACACGAAAGCGUGGGUAGCAAACAGG